rnacentral:rRNA from 1 species
GACAGCAGCAGCCGCGGUAAUACGAAGGGGGCUAGCGUUGCUCGGAAUUACUGGGCGUAAAGGGCGCGUAGGCGGACAGUUUAGUCGGGGGUGAAAGCCCGGGGCUCAACCUCGGAAUUGCCUUCGAUACUGGCUGUCUUGAGUGUGAGAGAGGUGUGUGGAACUCCGAGUGUAGAGGUGAAAUUCGUAGAUAUUCGGAAGAACACCAGUGGCGAAGGCGACACACUGGCUCACUACUGACGCUGAGGCGCGAAAGCGUGGGGAGCAAACAGGAUUAGAUACCCGCGUAGUCCCUGUCUCUUAUAC